rnacentral:lncRNA from 1 species
GGGGAGGUGCUGGCGAGAGAAAGAGAACUUGCGUGAGGGGGAGGAGGAGAAACCAAAUUUAAUAUUUGGCGUGGAAAGGGGAUUUUUUUUUUUUUUUUUUGCAUCCUCCAAGUAAAGUGAAAUCAGUCAGCAUUAUGCCCCCUCCCCUCGACAAGUGAGGAUUACUUUCUCCUUGGGUAAACGAAGAGAACUCAUGCAGACGAACCAGAAGCUUAGAGAAGUUAACAUUCUUCAAGUUACCCAAACAGUGAAUGAGGGAGUCAGGAUUUGAAUCCUGAAAUCUAAUGCCAGAGUUUACAAGCCACGCUGGAAAUGAGCAUAUAGAGUUCCAGGGAUCAGAUCCUAGCUGAGAUGAGAUUGUGACCUAGCACUGCAGAGACCCGCUGAGCAGGAGAUCCCAUUGCGUCACAGCAGGAACUCCAGGAUAUUUUUAAUUUCAAAGAACUGAUGUCCUGAAGAAGGUUACCUGAAAAGAGAUGUAAGCAUUGGAGCUGGGAAUGAUUUCCACAUCUGUCAGUGCUUGGCUGAGUCAUUUAAAUUCUCGACCCAGAUUUUAUGCCUAAGAGUGAGCAUCAGUUAGAAAAACCAAUGUUAUUGCAAAGCCACAUGAAUAACUAAUGCCUGGCAUAGAUCUGCUAAAGUAAUUUCAUCCAAACAUUUGUGUUGGAGUAUCAGUGAGUAAAUUAAACAAGAAACCAAAGCAAAAUUGUUCUUUAUAGCUUCAGAGAAACCUAAUGAAUUGAUACUUUCUUUUGAAUUCAGAAGUACUCCAGGAAUUAUUUUUCCCCCAAUGAUUGGUAAGAAAGUUAUUGUGUGUGUGGUAAAAAAACUUGCAUUGAAGGGAUGAAUAACAUCAUAUACUUGCCUAUUACCUUUAGCAUUAGAAAAAUGCUGGUGUUUCUGAAUAUAAGGACUCCUAAAUGCACGAUAGGCCUUUAAAGAUAUUUGUGUCACAGAAUGGGAAAGGGAAAAAUAGAACCCUUUUAAGGCAAAUGAAAAGUCCCCAAAAGAUAUUAGUUAACAGAAGUUAGCAUAUAGGUUCAAAUCCUCAGUUAGUCAAAAUAACUGAAAAGACAAAAGAAAACUGUGUUAUCUGUAUAAUGAAGUGAUUUUGUAAUAUUUUUGCACUUUGAAAAUAAGGUCUUUGACUUAGGAAUUUGUAAGAAUUGGUGUGGCUGACUGCAUGCAAUUUUCAGUGUAUGUUAUACUCCAUUCCUCUGCCCCAAUACAGUAUCCCCCCUUAGAGAACUACAGGUUGAAUAAUUUGAUUCAUUUACAUAUGAUAAAAUGACAUGGCUUCAUGCUAACCAAAUUCACAGGCUACUGUUUUUAUUUAUCAGGUUACAAGGUGUUUUUCAUUUAUAAUAGAAGGCAUUUCUGAACCAAGUUGAGAGACUACCUACUCCUUUAAGUGGUGGUAUCUUCCCAUUCUAAGUACCUCUCUCAAAUUACAAAAAGUUGUGUAUCACUAACCCUUCUUAUUAAUAUAGUUGCAAAAAUGCCAAACAAAAUAUAAGAAAGAGAAAGCAACAAUAUGUAUUUUUAAUCUCACAUAACCAAAGAGAUUUUAUCCCACAAAAGAAAUCGAUUCAACAUUAGGAAACUUUACCUGUGAUAUAUUAUUUAAUUUAAUCACAUGAAAAUCACAAUCAGAGCUUCCAUUGUGGCUCAGUGGUUGAGGACCCAACGUUGUCUCUCCAAGAAUAUGGUUCAAUCCCUGACCUCUCUCAGUGGAUUAAGGAUCUUGCAUUGCUGUAAGCUGCAGCAUAGGUUGCAGAUGCAGCUCAGAUCUGGUGUUACCUUGGCUGUGGCGGAGGCAUCAGCUGCAGCUCCAAUUGGACUCCUAUCCCAGCAAUUUCCAUAAACUGCAGGUAUGGCCCUAAAAAGAAAAAAAAAAAAAAACACAAUCAUCUCAACAGAUGCCAAAAGGGCAUUUAAUAAAAAUCAAAGCCAUUCAUAUUCUCUAAAACAGUAGGUCUAGAUACUUACUUCCUUAACAUAGUAGAGAGUAAUAUUCCUUUUUUGGGGGGGUGACACACACACACAUAUAUAUAUCUUUAUUUUUAAAAUACUUUUUAGACCAGUUUUAGAUUUACAAAAAAGUUGAUCAGAAAACACAGAACUUUCAUAUAUCUCUUCUUCCCCAAACUCCUCCCACCCCAAAGUUUCCCUAUUGUUAAGUUUUCGCAUUAGUGUGGUACAUUUGUUACAA